UGCCCUAGUAACGGCGAGUGAAGCGGCAACAGCUCAAAUUUGAAAUCUGGCCCUAGGCCCGAGUUGUAAUUUGUAGAGGAUGCUUUUGGUGCGGUACUUUCCGAGUUCCCUGGAACGGGACGCCUUAGAGGGUGAGAGCCCCGUACGGUUGGAUACCUAGCCUCUGUAAAGCUCCUUCGACGAGUCGAGUAGUUUGGGAAUGCUGCUCAAAAUGGGAGGUAAAUUUCUUCUAAAGCUAAAUACCGGCCAGAGACCGAUAGCGCACAAGUAGAGUGAUCGAAAGAUGAAAAGCACUUUGAAAAGAGGGUUAAAUAGCACGUGAAAUUGUUGAAAGGGAAGGACUUAUGACCAGACUUUUUCUGGGCGGAUCAUCCGGUGUUCUCACCGGUGCACUUCGCCCAGUAAAGGCCAGCAUCGGUUUCCGUAGAGGGAUAAAAGCAGUAGGAAUGUGGCUCCCCCGGGAGUGUUAUAGCCUGUUGUAUAAUACCUUUAUGGGGACCGAGGUUCGCGCUUCGGCAAGGAUGCUGGCAUAAUGGUCAUCAGUCACCCGUCUUGAAACACGGACCAAGGAGUCGAACAUUUAUGCGAGUGUUUGGGUGUUAAACCCUCACGCGUAAUGAAAGUGAACGGAGGUGAGAGCCUUAGGGUGCAUCAUCGACCGAUCCUGAAGUCUUCGGAUGGAUUUGAGUAAGAGCAUAACUGUUCGGACCCGAAAGAUGGUGAACUAUGCGUGGAUAGGGUGAAGCCAGAGGAAACUCUGGUGGAGGCUCGCAGCGGUUCUGACGUGCAAAUCGAUCGUCAAAUCUGCGCAUGGGGG
rnacentral:rRNA from 1 species